rnacentral:lncRNA from 1 species
GUCCGGGAGCCACACACUGGUGCCGCCUGAGACCCAGCGGGCCGACCCCCUGGUGUGUGCCGUGGGCAUGCUGGGCUCUGCCAUCUUCAUCUGCCUGAUCUUCGUGGCUGCCAAGAGCAGCAUUGUAGGGGCCUAUGUGAGUGCGUUGUGGGGAGGGGUGCUGGGGGAGCUGGGCCUGGACCAUGGAAGGGUCUGGAAUGGGAAAUUCCAUCUGACUUGUGGGACGGUCCCUUGCCUAUGUGAGUGCGUUGUGGGGAGGGGUGCUGGGGGAGCUGGGCCUGGACCAUGGAAGGGUCUGGAAUGGGAAAUUCCAUCUGACUUGUGGGAGGCUCCUGUUCUCUGGCUGCCUGUGCGCAUCCCUGGCCUGUUGGGGCCUCUGGGUGCCUCGGGGCAGUGGGCAUGGCUUGAAGUCUCUGGACGGCCCACGAAUGGAUGUGGGCCUGGGAGGGGGGAUGAGGUUUUGUGGGCUCCCUGCCAGCAGCCAGUGUGUAGGGAGCAGCCUGUGGCCACUGCAGGGGGAGGGUCCCCUGAUGAUUGCUUUGCUCUUUCCUGGGCAGAUCUGUAUCUUCGUCGGGGAGACACUGCUGUUUUCCAACUGGGCCAUCACUGCCGACAUCCUCAUGUACGUGGUCAUCCCCACCCGGCGUGCCACGGCUGUGGCCUUGCAGAACUUCACCUCCCACCUGCUGGGGGACGCCGGGAGCCCCUACGUCAUUGGCUUUGUGAGUCGCCCUGGGCGGGGGCUGGCCUGAGGAGGCUGGGGGCUUCGGGGGCUGUGCCCUGACACCCACCCCCACAUCCUCGCAGAUCUCAGACCUGAUCUGCCAGAGCACCAAGGACUCCUCGCUCUGGGAGUUCCUGAGCCUGGGCUACGUGCUCAUGCUCUGCCCCUUCGUCGUGGUCCUGGGGGGCAUGUUCUUCCUCGCCAUGGUGCUCUUCUUCCUCAGCGACCGUGCCAAGGCUGAGCAGCAGUGAGUGGGGCUGAGGGGAGGCCUGCUGGGGAGCCCUGCUCGGGGGUGGCGGAGAGGAGACCUGGGUGCACCCAGUGGGUGGCCUGGUUGCUGGGGUCCAGCCCCUGGGCCUCCCCGCACCUGUGGGGCUCAGUGCCAGCAUUGGCCUGGAGCUGUGGGGGGCCACAGGGGUGUCUGGUGGGUCCAGGCUUGGACUUGGUGGUUUUCGAAGCUGGGACCCCUCCCCAUUCCUUUUCCUCUCACCUUCUGACUUCUUUCUCCUUUCCUCUUUACUCCUCUCUCUCCUCUCCCCACCCCUGGGCUCUCCCACCUCCCCCUGGGGCUGACGAGGUCCCUGCCCAGCACCUCCGGUCAGCUGGCCCCCACAACGCGAUGUGCCAGAGCAGUGCCCGGGCCCGGCCCCUGCUGAUGCGUCACCCUGACUCCCGCCCAUCUCUCCCUCAGGGUGAACCAGCUGGUGAUGCCGCCCGAAUCUGUGAAAGUCUGAGGUGGUGAGUGCAGGCAGAGAGGCCCUCGGGAAGGGGGAAGGCCAGGGCUAGGUGACAGGGAGCACUCUUCCUCCCGAGUCCCCUCCUGCCCCAGCACCUCCCAUCAACCCUGGGCUUGGACUCUGAUGUUGCGAGAAUUCACUGAUGGAGCCAUGGGUCAGGGCUCCUGCUUCCAGUAAUA